AAUCAACGCUGGCGGCGUGCCUCAGACAUGCAAGUCGAACGCGAAGGCCCCUUCGGGGGCCCGGUAGAGUGGCGCACGGGUGAGUAACACGUAGGUAAUUUGCCUUCGGGUGGGGAAUAACAGCCGGAAACGGCUGCUAAUACCGCAUAAUGCAGCGGCUCGACAUCGAGACAGUUGUUAAAGCGGGGGAGUCGCAAGACCUCGCGCCUGAAGAGAAGCCUGCGGCAGAUUAGCUUGUUGGUGAGGUAAUGGCUCACCAAGGCGACGAUCUGUAACCGGCCUGAGAGGGCGGUCGGUCACACUGACACUGACAUACGGGUCAGACUCCUACGGG
rnacentral:rRNA from 1 species